rnacentral:lncRNA from 13 species
AUGCUAAUAUUUGUGUUUAUCUCACUUUCUGGUCCUCCAGGAGGUAUUACUGAAGUAAACUUCCAGAAUCCAGAUCCAAAGACGUGGACGGUGAAAACAACUGGAACUAGUCAUCCUCUUAUCCUUGUAUUCUGCGUGUAUAUUACUGGCUACAAGCCAACCAGCAGUGGAAACCUCCCGGAGUUCUCGAAGACCUGGCCUGUGGAGUUAAGCCGGGCUUGGUGGAUGCAGCCCAGGUAAGUGAGAUGUGAGAGCAAUAAAGUGAUGUAUGUAGAGAAAGAAACA